AAUCGUCAAACACGGGUUGUUGCUGGCCUCCAAACGGGGGCACGUGCACGCUCUGUUUACGCAUCCACUCACACCUGUGCACCCUCUGUAGUCCUAUGGUUCGGAAGACCCCGUCUUCCUUCUGUAGCUCUACGUCUUUACACACACGCCGUAGCGAUGUCUCAUGGAAUGUUUUUAUGCGUUUAACGCGAUACAAUACAACUUUCAGCAACGGAUCUCUUGGCUCUCGCAUCGAUGAAGAACGCAGCGAAAUGCGAUAAGUAAUGUGAAUUGCAGAAUUCAGUGAAUCAUCGAAUCUUUGAACGCACCUUGCGCCCCUUGGUUAUUCCUUGGAGCAUGCCUGUUUGAGUAUCAUGAACACCUCAACUCUCRUGGUCUUCCAUGAUGAGCUUGGACUUUGGAGGUUUGCUGGCCCUGYGGCCGGCUCCUCUCAAAUGAAUCAGCCUGCCAGUGUUUGGUGGCAUCACGGGUGUGAUAACUAUCUACGCUCGYGGUCGUCUGCCAGGUAACCCUCAGCGAUGAGGGUUCAUUGGAGCUCAUAAACGUCUCUCCUYGGCGAGGACAACUUUUCAACGUUCGAUCUCAAAUCAGGUAGGAUUACCCGCUGAACUUAAGCAUAUCAAUA
rnacentral:rRNA from 1 species